rnacentral:lncRNA from 1 species
AGCCCUUGUUAAGCCACGAUGUCUUAAUGUUGGGAAAGAAAUUGGCCCAGGAAAUGGAAGGUCUUCACAGCAGAGGCCAGGGCCCCCAUGUGCAAGGACAGACAGGCUGUUGAAGAAGACAACCUAACUGAGAUGGGCUGGCUGCCUGACCUUCGUGCUGGCGUUGAAGUCCACUCCUGUUUCCCCAAAGCUGAACACAGACUGCCAUGGCAGAAAUGACUGCUGGCAGUCAGAGGAUGAAUUGUUCCCUUGAUUAUCUGUAUCUUUUUUUCAAACAACAGUCAGUUAUUUGGCCUCUUCCUAGAGCAGGACAAUUGCAGUAACUAACCACAUGGAGCACUCAGAAUCAGAAGAUAUGUUCCAGGCUGGAGCCCUGCCACAGCUGCUGGAAUUACAUAUUUGGAAAGUGCAGCAGAAAAAUUGACUUUGAAUGUUUGAGAGGGAAGCAGAUGUAUCUCCUUCAUUAAGGAAAGAGAUGAUUCAAAGUGUAAACAGUGUGACUGGAAGUUCAGAAACCCGGUUUGUUCUGGAAGAGAUGAUUCGAUCUUCAGCAGGGAACCAGCCAGGAGACUGAUCAGGAAUGUGUUGGUAUGUGAAUCUGUACAGUGGUUGCAUUGGCAUCGUAGUGCAAGUUAGAUGUUGCUAGAAUACUUCAAGAGUUUUCUAAAAAUCUUCUGUGCAGACCAAGAUGGGCAAAACGUUCCUUUUGAUGGCCAGUCCCACUG